UACGUAGGGUGCGAGCGUUACUCGGAAUUACUGGGCGUAAAGCGUGCGCAGGCGGUUCGGUGUGUCCUGGGUGAAAGCCCCGGGCUUAACCUGGGAAUGGCAUGGGAAACUGGCGGGCUGGAGUGUGGCAGAGGGGGGUGGAAUUCCGAGUGUAGCAGUGAAAUGCGUAGAGAUGCGGAGGAACACCGAUGGCGUAGGCAGCCCCCUGGGCUAACACUGACGCUCAGGCACGAAAGCGUGGGGAGCAAACAGG
rnacentral:rRNA from 1 species